UACGUAGGGGGCUAGCGUUGUCCGGAUUUAUUGGGCGUAAAGAGCGCGUAGGCGGCCGAGUAAGUCCGACGUGAAAUCUGGAGGCUCAACCUCCAGCGGUCGUUGGAAACUACUCGGCUAGAGUCCGGAAGAGGAGAGUGGAAUUCCUGGUGUAGCGGUGAAAUGCGCAGAUAUCAGGAAGAACACCGAUGGCGAAAGCAGCUCGCUGGGACGUGACUGACGCUGAGACGCGAAAGCGUGGGGAGCAAACAGG
rnacentral:rRNA from 1 species